GAGUUCAUGCCCUCACGGGUAGAUCUCCCACCCUUGAAUAUUAUACCUUCGUUGCUUUGGCAGGCCGUGGAAACACCAUGGGCUCCGGCUGAUGCGUGCCUGCCAGAGGAAACAAACUCUGUUUUUAGUGAUGUCUGAGUACUAUAUAAUAGUUAAAACUUUCAACAACGGAUCUCUUGGUUCU
rnacentral:misc_RNA from 1 species